GAAUUCGCCCUUAGAGUUUGAUCCUGGCUCAGGACGAACGCUGGCGGCGCGCCUAACACAUGCAAGUCGAACGAGCGAGAGAGAGCUUGCUUUCUCGAGCGAGUGGCGAACGGGUGAGUAACGCGUGAGGAACCUGCCUCAAAGAGGGGGACAACAGUUGGAAACGACUGCUAAUACCGCAUAAGCCCACGGGUCGGCAUCGACCAGAGGGAAAAGGAGCAAUCCGCUUUGAGAUGGCCUCGCGUCCGAUUAGCUAGUUGGUGAGGUAACGGCCCACCAAGGCAACGAUCGGUAGCCGGACUGAGAGGUUGAACGGCCACAUUGGGACUGAGACACGGCCCAGACUCCUACGGGAGGCAGCAGUGGGGAAUAUUGCACAAUGGGGGAAACCCUGAUGCAGCGACGCCGCGUGGAGGAAGAAGGUCUUCGGAUUGUAAACUCCUGUUGUUGAGGAAGAUAAUGACGGUACUCAACAAGGAAGUGACGGCUAACUACGUGCCAGCAGCCGCGGUAAAACGUAGGUCACAAGCGUUGUCCGGAAUUACUGGGUGUAAAGGGAGCGCAGGCGGGAAGACAAGUUGGAAGUGAAAUCCAUGGGCUCAAUCCAUGAACUGCUUUCAAAACUGUUUUUCUUGAGUAGUGCAGAGGUAGGCGGAAUUCCCGGUGUAGCGGUGGAAUGCGUAGAUAUCGGGAGGAACACCAGUGGCGAAGGCGGCCUACUGGGCACCAACUGACGCUGAGGCUCGAAAGUGUGGGUAGCAAACAGGAUUAGAUACCCUGGUAGUCCACACCGUAAACGAUGAUUACUAGGUGUUGGAGGAUUGACCCCUUCAGUGCCGCAGUUAACACAAUAAGUAAUCCACCUGGGGAGUACGACCGCAAGGUUGAAACUCAAAGGAAUUGACGGGGGCCCGCACAAGCAGUGGAGUAUGUGGUUUAAUUCGACGCAACGCGAAGAACCUUACCAAGUCUUGACAUCCUGCGACGGACAUAGAAAUAUGUUUUUCCUUCGGGACGCAGAGACAGGUGGUGCAUGGUUGUCGUCAGCUCGUGUCGUGAGAUGUUGGGUUAAGUCCCGCAACGAGCGCAACCCUUAUCUUUAGUAGCCAGCGGUCCGGCCGGGCACUCUAGAGAGACUGCCAGGGAUAACCUGGAGGAAGGCGGGGAUGACGUCAAAUCAUCAUGCCCCUUAUGACUUGGGCUACACACGUGCUACAAUGGCGUAAACAAAGGGAAGCAAAGCUGUGAAGCCGAGCAAAUCUCAAAAAUAACGUCUCAGUUCGGACUGUAGUCUGCAACCCGACUACACGAAGCUGGAAUCGCUAGUAAUCGCAGAUCAGAAUGCUGCGGUGAAUACGUUCCCGGGUCUUGUACACACCGCCCGUCA
rnacentral:rRNA from 1 species